rnacentral:rRNA from 1 species
AGUGAACGCUGGCGGUAGGCCUAACACAUGCAAGUCGAACGGCAGCACAGUAAGAGCUUGCUCUUACGGGUGGCGAGUGGCGGACGGGUGAGGAAUACAUCGGAAUCUACUUUUUCGUGGGUGAUAACGUAGGGAAACUUACGCUAAUACCGCAUACGACCUACGGGUGAAAGCAGGGGAUCUUCGGACCUUGCGCGAUUGAAUGAGCCGAUGUCGGAUUAGCUAGUUGGCUGGGUAAAGGCCCACCAAGGCAACGAUCCGUAGCUGGUCUGAGAGGAUGAUCAGCCACACUGGAACUGAGACACGGUCCAGACUCCUACGGGAGGCAGCAGUGGGGAAUAUUGGACAAUGGGCGCAAGCCUGAUCCAGCCAUACCGCGUGGGUGAAGAAGGCCUUCGGGUUGUAAAGCCCUUUUGUUGGGAAAGAAAAGCAGCAGGUUAAUACCCCGCUGUUCUGACGGUACCCAAAGAAUAAGCACCGGCUAACUUCGUG